CCUACGGGCGGCAGCAGUGGGGAAUAUUGGACAAUGGGGGCAACCCUGAUCCAGCCAUGCCGCGUGUGUGAAGAAGGCCCUCGGGUUGUAAAGCACUUUCAGUGAGGAAGAACGCCUGGUGGUUAAUACCCAUCAGGAAAGACAUCACUCACAGAAGAAGCACCGGCUAACUCCGUGCCAGCAGCCGCGGUAAUACGGAGGGUGCGAGCGUUAAUCGGAAUUACUGGGCGUAAAGCGCGCGUAGGUGGCUUGAUAAGCCGGUUGUGAAAGCCCCGGGCUCAACCUGGGAACGGCAUCCGGAACUGUCAAGCUAGAGUGCAGGAGAGGAAGGUAGAAUUCCCGGUGUAGCGGUGAAAUGCGUAGAGAUCGGGAGGAAUACCAGUGGCGAAGGCGGCCUUCUGGACUGACACUGACGCUGAGGUGCGAAAGCGUGGGUAGCAAACAGGAUUAGAUACCCGUGUAGUC
rnacentral:rRNA from 1 species